UGGGGAAUAUUGCACAAUGGACGAAAGUUUGAUGCAGCGACGCCGCGUGGAGGGUGUAGGCCUUCGGGUUGUGAACUCCUUUUUCUCGCGAAAAAGGCACAGUUUUGGCUGUGUUGAUGGUAGUGGGGGAAGAAGCGCCGGCUAACUACGUGCCAGCAGCCGCGGUAAUACGUAGGGCGCGAGCGUUGUCCGGAUUUAUUGGGCGUAAAGAGCUUGUAGGCGGUUCGUCGCGUCUGGUGUGAAAGCCCAUCGCUUAACGGUGGGUUUGCGCCGGGUACGGGCGGGCUAGAGUGCAGUAGGGGAGACUGGAAUUCCCGGUGUAACGGUGGAAUGUGUAGAUAUCGGGAAGAACACCAAUGGCGAAGGCAGGUCUCUGGGCUGUUACUGACGCUGAGAAGCGAAAGCGUGGGGAGCGAACAGG
rnacentral:rRNA from 1 species